rnacentral:sRNA from 1 species
CAAAAUGAAAACUCUCCUCUUCUCAAAGACCACUCAAGAUGGACUCGAUUGGUUGAUAUCAACCUAGUACGGUGCCAUGCUUUGAAGCUGGACUCUUUUGGCCAGUUUAUUGAAUUAUUACCCAGCCUAGAGUUUAUUUCACUGGAUCAGAUGUUUCGUGAACCACCCAAGGGUUGUGCUCGAGUUGGUCUGAGUGCAGGCACAGGAAUUGGUGUUUCAUCAGCUCUUGUUAGCAACCAGAACUCCAACAAUGAUGAUAAUAAUGCCCAGAAUAACAAUGCCAACAUCCACGACAACAAUCACCAUCACCCAGAUGACUCAGACGAGGAGAAUGACUUUCGGCAAGAUCUACAGCCAGGAGAGCAGCAGUUUGCAGCUGACGGUAACCCAGAU